AGGACGAACGCUGGCGGCGUGCUUAACGCAUGCAAGUCGAGCGGUAAGGCCUUUCGGGGUACACGAGCGGCGAACGGGUGAGUAACACGUGGGUGAUCUGCCCUGCACUCUGGGAUAAGCCUGGGAAACUGGGUCUAAUACCGGAUAUGACCUGCUCUCGCAUGGGGGUGGUGGAAAGAUUUAGUCGGUGCAGGAUGGGCCCGCGGCCUAUCAGCUUGUUGGUGGGUAAUGGCCUACCAAGGCGACGACGGGUA
rnacentral:rRNA from 1 species